rnacentral:rRNA from 1 species
UCGAGGGGCAGCGGGUAGAUGAGCUUGCUCAUUUAUGCCGGCGACCGGCGCACGGGUGAGUAACACGUAUGCAACCUGUCCGUCUCAGGGGGAUAAUCGUCGGAAACGGCGUCUAAUACCCCGUAUGAAGCUGGACGGCAUCGUCUGGUUUUGAAAGAAUAUCGGAGACGGAUGGGCAUGCGGCGCAUUAGCUAGUUGGCGGGGUAACGGCCCACCAAGGCGACGAUGCGUAGGGGUUCUGAGAGGAAGGUCCCCCACACUGGUACUGAGACACGGACCAGACUCCUACGGGAGGCAGCAGUGAGGAAUAUUGGUCAAUGGGCGAGAGCCUGAACCAGCCCAGUCGCGUGAGGGAGUACUGCCCUAU